rnacentral:rRNA from 1 species
GAUGAACGCUGGCGGCGUGCCUAAUACAUGCAAGUCGAGCGAACGGACGAGAAGCUUGCUUCUCUGAUGUUAGCGGCGGACGGGUGAGUAACACGUGGAUAACCUACCUAUAAGACUGGGAUAACUUCGGGAAACCGUAGCUAAUACCGGAUAAUAUUUUGAACCGCAUGGUUCAAAAGUGAAAGACGGUCUUGCUGUCACUUAUAGAUGGAUCCGCGCUGCAUUAGCUAGUUGGUAAGGUAACGGCUUACCAAGGCAACGAUGCAUAGCCGACCUGAGAGGGUGAUAGGCCACACUGGAACUGAGACACGGUCCAGACUCCUACGGGAGGCAGCAGUAGGGAAUCUGCCGCAAUGGGCGAAAGCCUGACGGAGCAACGCCGCGUGAGUGAUGAAGGUCUUCGGAUCGUAAAACUCUGUUAUUAGGGAAGAACAGAUGUGUAAGUAACUGUGCACAUCUUGACGGUACCUAAUCAGAAAGCCACGGCUAACUACGUG